rnacentral:rRNA from 1 species
AGGGUUCGAUUCUGGCUCAGGAUGAACGCUGGCGGCGUGCUUAACACAUGCAAGUCGAACGGGAUCGGCUGGAGCUUGCUCCGGCCGUGAGAGUGGCGAACGGGUGAGUAAUGCGUGACCGACCUGCCCCGUACACCGGAAUAGCUCCUGGAAACGGGUGGUAAUGCCGGAUGCUCCAGUCCAUCGCAUGGUGGUCUGGGAAAGAUUUUAUCGGUAUGGGAUGGGGUCGCGUCCUAUCAGGUAGUCGGCGGGGUAACGGCCCACCGAGCCUACGACGGGUAGCCGGCCUGAGAGGGCGACCGGCCACAUUGGGACUGAGAUACGGCCCAGACUCCUACGGGAGGCAGCAGUGGGGAAUAUUGCACAAUGGGCGCAAGCCUGAUGCAGCGACGCCGCGUGCGGGAUGACGGCCUUCGGGUUGUAAACCGCUUUUGUUGGGGAGCAAGCCUUCGGGUGAGUGUACCCUUCGAAUAAGCACCGGCUAACUACGUGCCAGCAGCCGCGGUAAUACGUAGGGUGCAAGCGUUAUCCGGAAUUAUUGGGCGUAAAGAGCUCGUAGGCGGUUCGUCGCGUCCGGUGUGAAAGUCCAUCGCUUAACGGUGGAUCUGCGCCGGGUACGGGCGGGCUGGAGUGCGGUAGGGGAGACUGGAAUUCCCGGUGUAACGGUGGAAUGUGUAGAUAUCGGGAAGAACACCAAUGGCGAAGGCAGGUCUCUGGGCCGUUACUGACGCUGAGGAGCGAAAGCGUGGGGAGCGAACAGGAUUAGAUACCCUGGUAGUCCACGCC